rnacentral:rRNA from 1 species
GCUUAGAGAGGGGUCAAUGUCCUAUCAGCUAGUUGGUAAGGUAGUGGCUUACCAAGGCUAAGACGGGUAGCCGGCCUGAGAGGGUGGUCGGCCACACUGGGACUGAGACACUGCCCAGACUCCUACGGGAGGCUGCAGUCGAGAAUCUUUCGCAAUGCCCGAAAGGGUGACGAAGCGACGCCGCGUGUGGGAAGAAGGCCUUCGGGUUGUAAACCACUGUCGGGAGUUAAGAAAUGUAAGGGUGUUAAUAGCAUCCUUACUUGACUAAGGCUCCGGAGGAAGCCACGGCUAACUCUGUGCCAGCAGCCGCGGUAAUACAGAGGGGGCAAGCGUUGUUCGGAAUUAUUGGGCGUAAAGAGCACGUAGGCGGCUUUGUAAGUCAGUUGUGAAAGCCUUCCGCUUAACGGAAGAACAGCAUCUGAUACUGCAAGGCUAGAGUGCGGAAGGG